rfam:Oryza sativa (indica cultivar-group) chromosome 11, whole genome shotgun sequence.
AAAAAGACAAACCCUGGGUUUCCGUGUCCAACGUUUGAUUGUCCCGUCUUAUAUUGAAAUUUUUUUCAUAAUUAGUAUUUCCAUUGUUGUUAGAUGAUAAAACAUUGAUUAAUACUUUAUGCGUGAACUUGUCUUUUAAAUUUUUUUCAAUAAAUUUUUUUCAAAUUAAGAACGGACGGUCACAACGUUGGACACAGAAACCUAGGGUUUGCCUUUUU